rnacentral:tRNA from 1 species
GUAGCUCAGUGGUAGAGCAUCUGCCUUGCAUGCAGAAGGGCGCAGGUUCAAUCCACAGCAUCACCA